rnacentral:lncRNA from 13 species
AUGAGCACCAGAUCCAUAUUUCUAACAGUUUACAUCCUUGCUACUCCAAGUAUUGGUCCCAGGACCAGAAGCAUGGACAUCCAUGGGAGCUUGUUAGAAACUCAGAAUCCCAGGUGCCAUUCUGGGACCGCAGACCUCCUGAGCCAGGAUCUACAUUUUAACAAGAUCUCAAUGAUUUGUGCAAGCACUAAAGUUGAGAAGGCACCAGUCUAUGUGCCCGUCUAUCUGGACACCCCACGGCCACUCCAGUCCAGCAUGGCCAUGCUGAAUGCAGACCCCUCCCCUAGACCAUCAAUUUUUGUUUGGUUUUCCUUUCUGAGGAACAGCUUCUGUCCCAUGUAUGGAAGCUGCCAGUGCCCCUCAGUCCUGCUCUGGCCCUGCUGGUGUCCCUCUCCAAAUCUGAGGGCUCCCUUCCUUAGGGAGCCCAUCAGUCCUGGAGCCCUCCAUCAAGUGCUCUCCAUUGAGAAAGGUGUCUUCAGAGCCAGGGAAGGGCCCACUCGGAAGCAGGAUGCACAGUGCAGCAGUUCACGGAUGCAAUUCAGCCGCUGGUGUGCCCUAAUUGGGCACCCUAAUUGGGUAUGGAUAUCAGUGUUCUUUUUUUGGUUUUGAUUUUUGCUUCCUGUGCUAGGAAGCAACUUUGAUACAUACUGUAUUCAUAUUCUUUAUGUUGCAACCUGACUAGCUAGACCAAAACCAGGAUUUAAACAGUGGGGUAAUUAGAGAGUUUACAGAAGAGAAGAGUCUGGGAUGUUAGGGACUCGGGGUGGAGUCCUACCCUUCCAGGACAUUCUCCUCCCUGCUUCCUGCUCAGUGUCUCUGUUGCCUUCCAAGACUUCUCUGCUAGGCAGGAGAUAUGGGAACAGAUAUGAUUUCUGUCACUCCAGCUUCACUGCUCAAGGCAAAGAUAGUUUGUUUCUCCUCAGGAUUUUGAUUAUCCCAGAUGGUCACGUGUAUGCUUGGGACCAUUUCUGGCAUGAGCUCCAUUCUUGGCUCAGACUAGGUUACAGUCAUGCAUAUCAGAGGCUGUGAUGAGCAGGGCAAUGAAUCAUCUCCAAAGUGAGAGGACCUUUGGGCUUAUUGCUAUGUGGGCCAGCCCACAUUAUCCCCCAUUAAAAUGUAUUUUCUAAGUGUCCCAUGUUGUUUUCACUCUCACAAGAGUUGGGAGGUAGGAGGGCCUGGCUUUUCCUUAUUUUCCCCAGGAGCUAACAGAGUGGUGGUGCAUUAAUAGAGGGGACCCUAAGGAAUCCCAGGCCUCUCCUCCACUACAGCUGCUUCAGCACAGGCCUUGGGGCUUUGGCUUGGCAAGACAGUGUCACCUAAGUGGAUGCCCCUUCACACCUCCCGGCUUCCUAUGAUGACUCCAUGCCAACCAUGCCAAGACCUAAAACUCACCCCCCAAAUCUGACAGCAUCUUCUCUCUCUGCCUGAAGGAAGACAAUGCACUCUGGGCAAUGGGUUCACACUUGUUUUAGCUUCAUUUAAACAUAUAAGCAAUGGUCCAUUUUGAAAAUUGCUCACAUAUAGUUUCUAUCAUUGAUGCCUUAUAGUAAGAACAGAUUGAUGACCUUUCCCUAAUUUCUAUUUCACCGAUAUAUGAUAUGUUUCCCCUUAUCUUUGGAAAUGACAAUGCAUGAUUAAUGGACUGUGGAUAAAGAAUGAAUGAGUGGCCACAGUUUUUAAAGCUUACUAUGGCAAUAAUGUCAAUGUAUCCUCUCAAACAAGCACCAGAUACAAGUCAUCCAUUGCUUCCAGUUCUGAGCACAGCUUGGACGUUUGCUUCUGGAGAUAAGAGUGGGACAGGCUCUGCCUGGAUGCUGUCAUAGCUUCCAUGAUUCCCCUGGACAGUGUUUUCAGUAGGAGGGGAUAAUCUGCAGGUCCCCAUUCAUACAACUUAGUGUGGAUUCAUGCAGUGAUGACCACAGUUUAGGAAAAAGAGGCUGGACUCAAUCUGUAAUAUAACAGUGACUGGUUAGACUCUAACUGGGAGCUACCAGCUCUUAACAACAUGCGUUCUUGGUAGAAUGCCCAUGUAUGAUAACCCUAGGCUCUCCUUGGAUUUAAGUGGGUGGGUUUGGGGUUGACUGGAGUUCAUUUCCAUUCGGCAGAGACCUAAGGAGUCCAGGAAGAUAAUAUUCCCUGGCCUAUUGCCCUCUCCCCACUAUCUCCUUUUCAUUGCCCCCUCUCCUUUCCAUUUAGCACCCCCAGGGCCCCACUAACCCGUAAGGCUCCUUGGGCAAAUGAGGAGAUCACCCUCUGCCCUCAAAACAGUAUACAUCUGUCAAAACAUUGCCAAGAUAAAACUAAAAAUCCCUGUGAUAAUUAUGAUAUAAAUGAUGUGCUAACCAUAUAUCCUCCCCUUCUAAAGAGAUGCUCAGAAAGUUCUAGUGAGUUCUUCCUAAUGGGUCUUUCUUCCUCAAGAGCUGCAUGGUUUAUUUAUUGCCUUUGAGAUCUAGCAGAGAGGGAGGAAUGAGACACAGGUGUCACUCAGAGAGGGUGAAUUUCCACUUUGUAAAGGCAGGCAAGUUUGCUCCCAGAAAAUCAAUAUCUGCUUCCAAUUUGGACCCUUUCCAAUAAACCAUAAGCUCUCAUAAGUCUUUGGAAACA